UCGAACCCGCGACAGCCGCGUCGAGGACUCAAGGCCUCCAAGUUUUUGUGCUGCAGCUGUAACCUGGAGCUUGUGCCUCAGCAGGUGUGGAUCAGUGCGGCCCGGUUGCUGAUCCUGAUCCGGUUCUCCGGCCCGCCGCUCUCAGGCUGCAAGGCAAACAACUGUUACCUACAAAUCAUCCGUCUCUAUUGGAAACCGGUUUUUCUCCCUGCCUGCUGCUCCCUCCCCCUCCUCCUCUUUCUGCAGAGCACAUGUCUGGUUGCAGUUUGCUGCGGCUGGGUUGUGCUGCGCUGGAGGACGCCGGGCCGAACCGGGCCGGGUCGGGCCAGGCCGGGUCGGUCAGUAGAACAUGUGUUGCUGUUGCUGGCCGGCAGCAGCAGCAGCAGCAUGUGCUCUUCAUCCCCCACACCACCGACAGGUGUUGGCUUCAUGUGACUGCCUGCCUGUCCGGACAGCGCUCCAAUGGAGGAGGAGGAAGAGGAGGAGGAGGAGGAGGAAGAGGAGGAGGAGGAGGAAGAGGCGGGGUGUGUAAAGUUUCAUCAACAACAACUGUGUCAACUGUGCAGCCGCUGGGUUGGGAAAGCAGCAGCGCAGGAUGCCUCUCCUCCUCUUCCUCCUCCUCUUCUUCCUCCUCUCCUCUCCUCUCCUCCUCUUCUUUAACUCCCCUGGAUGAAUGGAUGAAUCCACCCUUUUGUGUGCGAUGGGCCGUUCCUCGGCAACAGCUCCAUGGUUACAGUCCAAUAAAUAACAUCACACUCGCUCCUCUGCCUCUCUGGAUCUCAGGAUGCGAAGGAAAAGUUUCUUUGCUUUUGUUUCCUGAAACUGUGAAGCAGAUUCAGAAUCCCAAACUGAGCGUCUGAUCGGCGUCUCUGCAGCUGCGCCGUUUGGUGACUGGGUGAACGCACGCAGAGCCGCAGUGAUGAGCUGAAAACAUGCAAAGCGGCUCAUUAGAAAACCCAAAUCAGCUCCGGCAGAGGAACAGGUUUGGAGUGGGACGCGCCGAAAGAGAAGAUCUUUGUUUUUCUGCUGCUUUUUGUUUCGUUUGUUUACUUUAUGAAAAUAUAAAGAGCAGUUCUGCUGACAUGACAACCAGAUGUGAAGCAGAGUCUGAAAACUCUUUUCAUAUAGACUGUCAGUUGGUUUCAGGCCUGGACUUUGACUAGACCAUUCUAACCUUCUAACUUUGAACUCUGGUCAUUCUGUUUCCUCCAUGUUUCCUUCUUGGUUUCUUCUCAUCCAUAAAGCCCAGGUUAAUCUCCUGUUAGCCAGGGAUGUCCAAAGUGUGGCCCGGGGGCCAUCUGGGGACAUCCGGAUGAUUUUGUUUGGCCCUCCAGUCGAACUCAUCCCUUCAGCACAGGCAGGUCGAACCAAACUGAGGGUCAAACUGAAGGAAAGAAGCAGCAGCAGCCAUGACUCAGAGAUCUUGGUUCUGGUUAAAUCUCCCCUCAGAUCCUGUUUCCUCCCGAGGAACCGAGUUCCUCAAAAGCUCCGAGUCCCACAGGAAGCAUCGCUGCCACGCCGGCCUGUCCGGAGCAGGAACGCCGCAGGAACGCCGCAGGAACGCUGCAGGAACGCCGCAGGAACACUGCAGGAUGCCCCCUCUGAUGCCGCACAGCAGGAAAACUUCAGGCCAAACCUGGAAACAUCUCAACUGAACAGCAGCAGAGAGGAGGAAGUGAAAACAAGAACUGCCUUCAUCUUAACUUUAUCAAAACUCAGUAAAAGUGUCAGACAGCUGCUGCCUUCUCGUGGUUCGGUGUGAAAGCGGCGCUGCUGCUGCAGGGAGCCAAACAGGAGCAGCUCAAAAUGUCUGACAGAGCUGGAAACACCCAGAUCCUUCAUCAGCAGCAGGCCGAACCAGCCCGAGACAGGCGGAGAGGCUCUUCCUGCUCGGCUGCAGCCGCCCGCAGGGGAGGAGGGGUGUGAUGGGAGGAGAGCUGCCUGCGCUCCCUCCAGCAGGGGAUGAUGGGAGGAGAGGAGGAGGGGUCUGUAUCUGGAGAUGGAGGGCUGUCAGGAAUGUGGGAGAGCAAGCAGACAUGCAGCGAGCGAGGAGUCGAGCCACUCGCACUAAAUUUAACAAUGAGAGUCGGCAGAACGUUUAAAUUUAGUCUGCAGCUUCACCGAGUCGGAGCGGCUGCUGCUCACCCGGCACAAAACAUCUUCAUCCUGCGGCCGAGCGGCGGUCCGAACGGGUCAGGUUCUCCUCCACAAACCACCGAGGAGCCUCAGGGUCUUCCUGAACAAAGGAAACUUUUCUGAGCUUUAUGUUCAAGAGUUUUACAUCUUUCAUGACGUGGUGAAGAAAUGAAGCAAACUUCAUCUAGAUCAGGUCCAGAAAACACAAAACAGAAAUAAUCUGAAAUCCUGACAACUGAACUGAUGAUGAAUCUAAAAGCUCCAAACUGCAAGACGCUGAUUUCAAAGAAUCAGGAAGUUAUCGUUUGAUGUUUUCUGUUUCAUCCUCUUUAUUUUACCCGUGAAAAGGUUUGCAGAUUAUAAAAACUGAACAAACAAAAGAGGAAAAUCUGAAGAAAAACCUUCAGAAAGGACGAAAUAAAAAAGAAAGA